rnacentral:tRNA from 1 species
GGUCUUGUAUUCAAUUAUGAUUUUAAAUUGCAAGUUUAAAGGUAGGGUCUCCUUAAGACUU